rnacentral:tRNA from 1 species
ACUCUGGGAUAGCUCAGUUGGUAGAGCAUGAGACUUUUAAUUUCAGGGUUAUGGGUUUGAGCCCCAUGUUGGGUA